rnacentral:tRNA from 1 species
GGAUUGUGGCUCAGCGGUAGAGCACUCGCCUAGUACGGGCGUGACCGGGGUUCAAUUCUCAGCACCA